rnacentral:rRNA from 1 species
UACGUAGGGUGCAAGCGUUAAUCGGAAUUACUGGGCGUAAAGCGUGCGCAGGCGGUGAUGUAAGACAGAUGUGAAAUCCCCGGGCUCAACCUGGGAACUGCAUUUGUGACUGCAUCGCUGGAGUACGGCAGAGGGGGAUGGAAUUCCGCGUGUAGCAGUGAAAUGCGUAGAUAUGCGGAGGAACACCGAUGGCGAAGGCAAUCCCCUGGGCCUGUACUGACGCUGAGACGCGAAAGCGUGGGGAGCGAACAGG